rnacentral:rRNA from 1 species
UGCGUAGGCGGAUUGUUAAGUCAGUGGUGAAAGUCUACGGCUCAACCGUAGAAGUGCCAUUGAUACUGGCAGUCUUGAGUACAGUAGAGGUAGGCGGAAUUUAUGGUGUAGCGGUGAAAUGCAUAGAUACCAUAAAGAACACCUAUAGCGAAGGCAGCUUACUAUGCUGUAACUGACGCUGAGGCACGAAAGCGUGGGGAGCGAACAGGAUUAGAUACCCUGGUAGUCC